GUACUAAUGAAAUCGAGUGCCCUCGAGUGCAAAGGCAAAAGGGAUCUUGACUGCAAGACCCACCCAUCAAAUAGGGACGAAAGUCGGUCUUAGUGAUCCGAAGGUGUCGAGUGGAAGGGCCGUCGCUCAAC
rnacentral:rRNA from 1 species